GAGGGAAGGAGUGGGGCAGCUGGACGGAGAAACCAGAGAGGAGGAAAGGAAGGGAGUCAGUGUCAGGUCAGAGAAAGUACUCACAAAAGACAGAAAAACGGACACGGACAGACUCACAGAGAGGGGGGUGGACGGACGAAGGGAAAGGGCCAGAAAGAGCCAGGGAGUAAGAGGAGGAGAAGCGAGGCAGAUACGGGGAGAAACAGACACCACACGACGACGGGCUGGUAGGACACAGAUGGGGCCGAGUCCCCAUCAGCACGACGGUAACACGGAGAGAGUUCCAGGCGACAGAGACCGGCAGAGAAAAGGAGAAAAAAAUGAGAAGGACCCCGGAAAGGAAAUAAAGAAACCGGAGUCAGUAAAGGGGAGCUGGGCAGGGGGGGGGGGGGGGGGGGGGGGGGGGGGGGCGGGGGGGGGGGGGGCCCCCCCCCCCCCCCCCCCCCCCCCCCCCCCUGCCCAGCUCCCCUUUACUGACUCCGGUUUCUUUAUUUCCUUUCCGGGGUCCUUCUCAUUUUUUUCUCCUUUUCUCUGCCGGUCUCUGUCGNNNNNNNNNNNNNNNNNNNNNNNNNNNNNGGGAGGGAGGGGGCGGGCGGGGCUGAGCGGGAGGCGGACUCCCCGCCCCCUGCCCCUCCCGAUCCCGCCCCCCCCUCCCCCGCGGGACGCCUGUCCCCUGCCGCGCGAAGGCCCUGGAGGUGACCCUUGUCCGCUCCCGGAAAGGUCACCCCGACCCUGCCCCCGGUCUCCUUCGCAGGGUAGCCAGGCAGGACGUGGGUCUGGGCUGUGGGGUGGGGACGGCGAGGCGCAGCGGUGGCGGCGGCAGCAGGUUGGCGGCUGGGAGCGGUUCCCGGUGGCGGCUGCACCCCCGGGGUCUUCCAUAUGGCGUGUGCGUCUGUUUAGCAACCUGCCUCAAAACUCUGAGCCGCAUUUACGCCCCGGGGCGGAAGACAGCGCGUCCCUGGGGAAAGGAGGCUGGCCGUGUUUUGCAUUUCAAGGUGGCGUUGCCAUCUUGCCAGGUUGGGAUUCCCAGGCAACCCGCGCUCCAGCCUAGUGGCAAAAUAAGAGAUACUAUUUUCCCGCCCAAAGAUACGUUUCUCCCAGACGAUGGUGCCAGGAAAGAGAUUUUUCUUUUUCAAAGGAUUUGGUAAUUCUCUCCCCGCCCCCCCCAACCCCUGAGACAAAUGAGAGCUAUAGAACCCACUGUCCCCCUUUUGCUUUGGCUGCUGGGAAGCUCAGACCUAAAUUGCAACGAUUAAUACAUUUAUAAACCGUUUCUAAUCCGGGAAUUGUUAACCUGACGUGCAUGGAUGCCACAGGCUUCCUAAAGCUCCUGAACUUGUAUGCAAAAUUAUUGUCUUAGUCGGCUCGGGCUGCUAUGACAAAAUACCAUCGACUGGGUGGCUUAAACAACGGAACGUUUAUUUUUCACAGUUCUGGGAGCUGGGAAGUCCAAGGUCAAGGUCCCCGCAGAUUUGGCGUCUGGUGAGGACCCUCUUCCUGAUUUGCAAAUGGCUGCUUUUUCACUGUUUCCUCACGUGGUGGAAAGAGGAAGCUCCGGGUCUCUUUCUCUUCUUGGAAGAGCACCAAUCCCCUCACAGGGGUGCCACCGUCAAGAUUUCACCCCCUAAUUACCUCCCAAAGGCUCCCCUUCUGUUGGAAAUGAGGGCUUCGGCAUAGGCCUUUGGUGGGGAAGGGGCAGGGGACAGGGGCAUUCAGUCCAUCACAGUUACGUGUAGGCAUACUUUUCUGGGGGGCGUUCUCAAGGUUCUCGAAGAUGUCCAUUACCUUUCAAAGGUUAAAAAGGGGGUCAGCCUGGAUUCAGCUUACAGUGUGGCUCCCCGAACCUGUCUCCUUUUCCUCCGUAUGUUCGUGACUGCAGGUGGCUCCCGAGCUGGACUGCAUUUCCCGUCCUUCUCUGCACCUGGACAUGGCCGCCGAACGGGUUCUGACCAAAAGACGGUGAGUGGAAGGCAUGGUGUUCCUCCCAGGUCAUCCUUCAAGGCCCUGGGUGGACCUUGUCCGUAUUUGCCUGCCCCUUCCUCCUGGCUAGACCCCGACGAUCCCGGGGACUCAUUUUCAAAUGACAGUGACUUUGGUGGAAAAGCUUUAGAAGAAGCGUGUUAAUGUUGGAGCUAUCCCAUGAGGGGGAAAUGCAUUUCCGUAGUAUUUCACUGUAGUUGGGGGCCGGCCUGGCUUUACCCCAUCAAAUGGGCCAACCCUAAGCUCCCGCAGCAACAGCACACAUUGUGAACCCGAGCCACCUACUUCCUGGGGCCAUUUAGCACGGUGGGGAGGUGUCCCUGUCCCUGUCGUGACCACCCACACGGCCUUUGCUCAUGGCUGGACUUGGAAGCCUGCUUCCAAGUACUUCCAGCUCUUUCUUUCCCCAGCAGCAGACUACUACCAACCCACCUGGCCCUCUCUCACGUUCCCCCACCCUGAGAUCCCUCUGAAUACCACGCUUCCCCGGCUCAAGGCAGCAUAGUGGUUGAGGGCACAAGCUUUGGGUUCAGCCUGCCCCUGGCCAAGUCCUGACUGUUCUGCAUGGACUCUGUGACCUCAGGGAGCACGUUUGACCCCUCUGAGCCUCUGUCUCGUUAUCUUUAAGUAGAGGGUGAUGAAGAAUCCUCACUACACAGGGCUGUUAUGAAGACGAUACCAGUAAAGCAGGAGAAGCUCGGCAAGUGUAUGCAACCCCCCCAGGAAUCAUCAUCAUCAUAGUCCCUUUCCAUCCAACGCAUCCACUCGAGGGACAGCCGUCCUCCAUGGAGCCCCCUCCUCUGCCCUCCUCGCCCUAAGGUCCCGGGAGCGUCUCCCUCCCAAGGCCAGCCCGCCCUCCGUUAAUUAUCCAGGGCUGCAAAAACAAAUCAGCCCCACGGUUAGAGGCAUAAAACAAUCUCUCACACAGUUCUGUGGGUCGGGGAUUCAUGAUGUUUGGCCAGGUUGUUUGGUUUGGGGCAUCUUGUGAACUUGUGGUCAAGAGGUCAGCUGGGGCUGUGGUCAUCUGAAAGCGGGACUGAGGCUGGGGGAACCUGUUUCCAAGAUGGCAGACCCAUGUGGCUGUUGGCCUCAGUUCCUCACCACAUGGACCUCUUCUCGUGCAAGCUGGCUUCCCAAGAGUGAGUCAUGAGAGAGACCGACAGAGACAGACAGAGAGAGAGAGGCAGAGACAGAGAAAGGAAAGAGGAAGCUGAAAUGCCUUUCGUGAUCUAGUCCCAGAAGUCACACGUAGUCACUUCUGUCACGUUCUAUUUGUUACAAGGAAUCACUAAGUCAGGCUCACGCUCCAAGGAAAGGGAAUUAGGCUCUACCUUUGAAGGGACUUGGGGACAUAUUUUGAAACAACCACACGCACCUUGUCCAUGAGCAGGCUCUGCUUAUGCUGUGAGCAGGUGCACAUAGAUAGUCCCUGUCGCACCUGCUGCUAACCACCCGCUCCCACCCCAGACCCAGGCAUGGGCCUCCUGUCCUGUCACAGAGUCAUGGUCGAGGGCACUGUGCCCUGGACAAGUAAGCCUCCCUUCAGAGCCAUAGGGUCCUCUUCUGUGAAAUGGACUGUAAUCGUGGGAGUGGCUGAUAAGAGCUGUCUGUGGAUUCAGUGAGCUGACACGCAUAGAGCUGGGAACAGAGCUCCUGGCUGAGAGCAUUGUUGGCGGUCGCUCUCGUUCUCCUGGCCUGCCCUCUGACGUGACUUCUUAGGAUGCUGCCCUGCAUGCACUAGGCACACGAUAAACAUCUGCCUGCCCGCCUGCCUGCCUCUCGGGGGGCCUCUCCGUGUGUCCCCGGGAGGCUCAAACAGACCUCCAUAAACAAAAGAUGAACUAGAGGAAAUUGAAGCAAAAGGGCAGGUGGGAGAUUUAAAGAAAAUAAAUCCCGUUUCUAAGUCCCGCUUGAAAAUGAACCCUCCCACGGGGACACCUGGGGGGCUCAGUCGGUUAAGCGGCUGCCUUCAGAUCAAAUCACCAUCUCGCGGUCUGUGAGUUCGAGCCCCGCGUCGGGCUCUGAGCUGACAGCCCAGAGUCUGGAGCCUGUUUCGGAUUCUGUGUCUCCCUCUCUCUCUGCCCCUCCCCUGCUUGCGCUCUGUCUCUCUCUUUUUCUCUCUCUAAAAAAUAAAUAAACGUUUAAUAAGAAGAAGAAAAUGAACCUUCCCACAAACAAGCAAGCUCGCCUGUCCUGUCUUUUCUGUCCUGCGAUUUACUGUCCUGGGGACUUGAGCCCAGGCAGGGAGAAGGGGCACCAGGAGGCAAGGGUCAGGUUGUCUUCCUCUGUGAGGAGCACCAGGGCCAAUGAUGAACCUGAGCAGGGAGAGGCGUUUGCCCUUGGUGAUGGUCUCUGGAAGUCUCUCUUUUUGUCAUUCCUUUGUAGGGGGUGGGCAGAGGAGUGGGUGCUUGGAGGAAUAGGGCGCAAAGCUUCUAUGCGAUGUUUCAUUUUCAUGCCUAGAGAGCUGGGUAGAGGAAUGAAGUUCAUUCAUUCAUUCAUUCAUUCCAUUAGCGGUCACCCAUAGAACCUCUGCUGUGAGUCAGAAUUUGAGCCAGCCACCUUUCCUAUCUCCUAGAAGUAAGCUCCAAACGCAGGUCCCAGACGUGGGACUGUGCCUGUUCCAUAGCAAACAUUUUAAAAAUGUUUGUUGAAUGAAUGAAUGAAUUCACUACCCCACUUGAGCCCCUGGCCUCCAAAACUCAUAAAGCCAAAUUCUUUAGCUUAGCACUCACGGGUUGCUACCUACUUCUCUGGCUUGGCUUCCCACGCCCUCUGCCACGGGCAUCCCAUGAUUUCAUCGUUAUGAAUCCCUCGCAAUCCCCAGAAGGUUCUCAGGCUGUUUCAUACCCUCCUCCCUUUGACGCGGGACCUCCUCCCCCUUUCGUCUGCUGGCGGACUCCUAUACAUCCCUUAAGAGCCGAUGAAGCGUCACUUUUCAUGCAAAGCCUUUCUUGGCCUCUCUGGUUGUAUUUGGUGUCAGGGUCUCCUCUUUGCUUCCUCGGCAUGCCUGGACUGUCCUUUGGUCUCUGCACAAGUCACCAAAGUGGUGUCUGUCCCCUCCAUCGGUCUGUGGGCUCCCUGAGGGCAGCCCAGGCCUCUGAACCCAAGCCCCGCUCUGCCACCUGCCAACACUGAGACUUUGGGAAACCCACUUCAGUGUUCUGUGCCCCCUCUGGACGUGGGGCUGAUAUCAGGCCCCAGCACUGAGGGUAGUUGCCGCGAUUAAAUGGUUUCGUAAAUCCAAUGCACUGAGAACAGCCCCUGGCCUUGUGAGUGCUGAGCAACUGUGAGCUCCUGUCGUACCGAUGGCAGCUCAGUGAUGGAGCAGCUAACUGGCUUCCGGUGCCUAGCACUGGGCUUAGCACCGGGAAGUCCCCAGUCAGGGCCAACACUGCCUCUGCUCUCAAUGAGCCCCAGUCCGAGGUAUCCAUCCAUUCGUUCAUUCCCCAUCCUGUGUCUUCUUUGUGCCGGGCAUCGUUCCAGGUACAGGGAUACAGCAGUGAACAAAACAGUGACCUCCAUCCACAACAAGCUUAUCCGCUAACAGAAUGAAUGAACGCGUGAGACAGAACCUUAGAAGACUCCAAGUCCUAUGAAAACGAGGGCAGGAUUAGUGGUAUUAGGAUUGCAAUUUUAAAUGGGGUGGGCAGGGUAAUCCUUGCUGCAAAGGUGACCUUUAUGGGAAGCCUUGGGAGAGAUGAGACUGUGAGUCAUGUUGCUAUCCAGGGCAAGCGUCCAGGGAGUGGGAACAGCGAGUGCAAAGGCCCUGGGGUGCAAACGUGUCUGGCAUGCUGGUGUUGGAGGAAUGGCCAAGAGCCCCUAUGGCUGUAGCAUAGUAAGCAAGGUGGAAGAUGGGAGAUGAUAUAAGGCAAUGGGUGGGGGAAGGAUGAGGCUGGGCCUGGUAGGUCAUUGUCGGAACUUUGGCUUUUACUCUGAAAACGGCAAGGGCAGAUGCAGGCCUGACCUCUGACCAGUAUUCCACCCUGGUUCUCAGGGGUCUGUGUAGGGGUGGGGUGCUCUGUGGAGAAACGCCUCGUAGAAGUGGGCUCCCCUAUGGAUGACACAGAGAAAGAGCCUGGAUCACCAUCUCUGGCAAGCCACAGGAAGGCCAAGUGUGGAGAGGCAGGGUCUACCUGAGCCCCGUGCCCACCUGCUCCCCAUAGACCACCGGCACUGGGAUUUUGCCUUUUCACUUCUGGGCCUAAUAGCGUAAGCUGCGGUCCCCUCCCAGCCUGGGGUCGGCCGAGUCUUUGUGCGCCCUGUGGCCAGUCCUUCCCCAGGAAGCUUGCUUUUGAGGGUGGGUGCACACUACUGAGAGUUACGCAGGACAGCCCGGGCACAUCAUGAUCCUAAGUGGAAGGACGCCAGGCGGAGGGGCAGGGAGGACAGGGAAAAGAGAGGCACUUCAUAGAGCCGCAGAAGGUCUGAGCUGGAAGGGACUCAGGGCUCAUCUCACGCAACCCGGACAACUCAGAAAGGGCAGGGGCUCAUCCAGGCCACGAGCACAUCACUGGCCCAUCGCCAGCAAGGCUGGAAGUAGAAUCUCGACUUGCUGAUGUUCAGCGUGGUCAACCCCUGACCCCAGCCCCCCCAGACGGCCUCCAGGUGUUGGGUGUACUCGGGGCUCCAGGGAGCUGUCCUGGGGCUUAACUGGUCCCUUGAGUUCUUGUUAGUUAGUUUGUUUUAGGGGCAGUGGCUCCAGACUAUAGAAAAUAGGGUAUGGGUUGUUCGGGGUUUUUUAUCUCCAAUAAACUGCAGUUGCUUUCCUCGGCUGGGCCCCUCAGGAGGGGAGAAUUACCCACUGUUCCCAUAAGUGGGGUCUCAGGGGUCUUUCCCUGCCUUGGGCUCACUUCUGUCUUCCCAGGGCAGCUGAAUGCCUAGUAAAUCCCAAUGUAGACAGCCUUCCCCGUGAUCUGUGAGCGCCAUAAAAGCAGGGCCACAUCUGUCGGAUUCACUAUUAUACGCCCAGUGUUUAUCCAGCAUAGUUGCUGGCACACAGGCGAAACUCUAAGGUAUGGACCGGAAGGAUAGAACCUCUACUUUGGGGGAUCGUGCCCCCAAAUGCAGCACGGUCUCUCUGGUAACAGGGAGCUCUGAUCAGAAUAACAACAUCUUUUUGGCCAGGGAGGAUAUGCUAUUUGAUAGUUUCUCCCUUCGGAGGAUUUAAUCUCCUCAUUCUGUUUUGCUAAAGCUAACCCUUAUUGAUUAUCUGAUUCAUGCCUUCGUUCACUAGGUAUUUAUGGAGCCCCUACCAGGUGCCAGACCCUGAGCGCUAAACACCAGGCAAGGCCAAGGCUGUCCCAAAGUGGCUGGUUCGUGCACACUCAGUGGGGAGCCACCACCUGCGAUGUUGCAAUCAUCUGAGCGGACCCAAGGUCUUGUAGCAAAGGUCAGCCUCUUAAAAAAUGGAGCCACUAAGCAAACAUUCUGGGGGAGCUUUACAGAGUUAAGCUGUUUGUGCUGGGGAAGCAUUUCUAAAAACUGCACAUGGGGCCUUUUAUCCACCUUAUAAUUGGCUCUGGUUCCUCUGUAACUGGGGAUAAAUCAGGCAUCAGCCUGUCUGUAGGUUUAUUAGAGACUUACAUAUUUGGAAUAAAAAGCAAGGAAUCAGGCAGGCAGUGGCGGAGAAGGAGGAAACCCGGGAAGAAGAAGAAGAACUAGAAGGAGAGACGUAGACAGCUGGACAAACGGGCCUCGGCCCCAGUUCCGCUGUAAAUCAGCCGAUGAACUUGGCCGAGCCACUGCCCCGCUGCCAUACGUGGGCUUCCUCGUCCGCAAAGACGGCCGGUGGGGUAAAAUCACUUUUGAUAAACUGUGCCACGCUCUCCUCUGGCUCCCCUGUGGGGGUCCUUCUUCCCCGUCUUCCCUCACGAGCUCUCACCGCCCCCCCCCCCUCUUGUCAGAACGCUAGCUGAGGCCAGCAGGCAUCGCUGUGCAAAACAAGCGAUCCUCAUCCAGGGCUUGUUAACUCGAGAACGAGAUACGGUCCAAAUUCUUUCGGCGGAAGGGGCUUGAGGGUCAGUUCGCAUGUUGGCACAUGAACUUGUUCUCAUUAAAUAAGUCAGUCGAGAUGUGAACAUUCAUCUGUGUAAGUGAAUGAAUCAGCCUCACUCUGAAAAGAAAAAUAGAGACGCCAUUAAUCAGCGUAGAUAUAUACAAGCACACACACGCACACGCACACACCAACACUCACAUCCCCUGACUCUCUCUCUCUCUCUCUCUCUCUCUCUCUCUCUCACACACACACACACACACACACACACACACACACACACACGUAUAGAUGUGGGUCCUGGAGCCAGAUUCCUCAAGUUUGAAUCUCAGCUCUGCCUCUUAGCUAAGCAACAUUUGUCAAAGUCCUCAACCAUUCUGUCCUCAGUUUUCCCACCUGUGAAACGGGGAUGAUGACAGUAGUGAAUUGUCAGAAAGUACUUAGCAGGUCGCCUGGUGCAUGGCAAGUGCUCUGUAAUAUAAGGUAAAUAAGUCCCGGCCGUCGCAGCGCAUCUGGGAUCUUUCCAGCCCUGCCCUUGCACGGCUCUGUGAGUCACUCCACCAGUCUGAACCUGACUUCGUCACUUUGCUCAUCUGUAAAAUGGGGAUGAUGCUAAUAACCUCAGGGUUAUUUGAACGAACACGAAGAUAAUGGGCACGAGGUAGCGUGACUCGGGAUACAGAAUCUUGGGCUCUGGAAUAUGCCUGCCUUAGGGUUCACGCUCACCAGCUGAGUGACAAGUAAUGACCUCUGAGCCUCAGGUUUCCCCUCUGUAAAUGGGGACAGUAGCAGGUGCUUCCUCAAGGGGUUGUUGAGAGGAACUAACACAGACACCGUGCUGAGCAAGGCGCUGGGGACUUAGUGGGAGCUCAGUAGAGUUCUCGGCCUGCGGCCUUUGUAACAUUGCCUCCCCUGGAGCACACCGCAGGCUCUCCAAGCCUCAUGUAUGGGUGAGGCUUGGUCUGCAAGGCAGGUAGGUGCAACAGUCCUCCGCAUGCUGUGUGCCCUCGGCGAGCGCUUUCCGCGUGUUACUUCAAUCAACCUUCCCGGUCCCCCGCAAGGCCGCUUGUAUCUCCAUUUCGCAGAGGAGGAAGCUGAGUCUCAGGCAGACUCGGUGACUUGCCCAGGGUCACGGUGGGCUGACCUUUCAGCCCAGGUCUGUCCGUCCCAGAGUCCAAGGGCGGUGACGUUCAGGCACUGCAAGGAAGCUGAGCGGAGUCCCACCUUUACUUUCAUGGCUGGAUUUAGCGACCCAGACAGGGCGUCCGCUGCUCGCGGGCAGGAGGGCCCUUGGCCGUGGACCCAACCCUACGGGUUGUUUGCACGAGAGCAUAGAAGGGUGGGCCCAAGAGGCUUUGGGUUGGAGCGGAGAGGUAGGAACUAAGAGCUCACGGGGCGGAGGGGGUAUCUUCCAGCGACCAAAGCUUGGAGCGCAAACAAUGAGGCAAGACGUUUGGCCAGCGGAACACUGACUUGGGAAAAGCAGGACCCAAACUUCCCUAAACUCUAAAGGCAAACCGUGCUGGCAGAUCUGGGACGGGUCGCCCCUGCCCAACCGCAGCUUGACCUCAGCACUUUUGUCUGUGGAGGAGGGUUGCACAAGCUGCCUUAAAUUUAAAAAUUUGCUGGUUGUGUUGACUGCUCCCUGUCAAUCAUCCAAAUGAGGGCGGGGACCAACGCAUUCUUUCUUCUUACGCAGGUUUGGGCGUCCAGGUAUGGAGGCAGUUCACAGAUGUGAUCUCAGCAGCUCUACGUGGAUGAUAAAGGUGAUUCAAAAAAUAAAUAAA
rnacentral:lncRNA from 1 species